ACUACCUUCUCUAUUAGAAAUGGUAGAUUGCACAAUGGCUAUGCUAAUUAUUCUCAUGCCUGAGGUUUUCUUUCCUUGAUUCUCGUGUUUACCUUUUCACAUUCUAUUGUUUAAA